UAUUUUCUCACUGUGCUACUGAAUCUCUGAAACAGAACAGGAACAGUUUAUGAUCUAUGCAGGUUCAGAAAUUUAGCCAUGCAUUCAAAGUUCAGAGAAGGAGUACACAUAUUCUAUAGGGAUGUUUUAACUUUUUUAUGUACUAUAACUUUUACUAUAUGGCUAUCAUUUCACUGCUCAUGCUUUUUGUUAGUCCCCCACUAGUUCACUUCAGGAGUACUUAGCAAGCACAAAGCCACCUGCCUUUUUCUCAUCAUCUCUCAGCCCUUUGAUCUUUCCAUGUUCCAUCCAUCACAGUUCACAGUUACCUCAACACCAUAAAGACCCACAGGCUCCUCUUCGCAAACACUCACCUCCUCUGCACACCACACAGACACACACAGCCAACACUAGUGGUAGUAUGUGCUAGAGCUGAAGCUUGGCAUCAGAGAGGCCGGCCAUGAAGAGCUCUUCAGCUGCACCAAGGCUGAGACUGAAACCGGAGCAGGCGAGGGAUGGUAGCAAGAUGCAGGGAGGCGGUCUGAGCAGCGGCCUGGAGCUCAGGCUCGGCAUCUCUUCAGACAAUGGCGGCGAUGGUCCAUGGCUCGGUGUGGGAACGCACCCUUGGAGCCUGGCCUCCAGGCAAGAGAAGGCGGCCCUGGAGCAAGCGCAGCAGCGGCCUCCUCCGCAGCCGGUGGGGUGGCCGCCGGUGGGCGCGUUCCGCAAGAGCCACCUGGCCCUGGCCGGCACGAAGGCCGCCGAGGAGCCGAGCAAGGAGAAGCGCUGCUCCGGCGAGCGGCCGGCGGCGAGCCUGUUCGUGAAGGUGAACCUGGAGGGCUGCGCCGUCGGGAGGAAGGUGGACCUGCGGGCGCACCGCGGGUACGCGUCGCUGUCCCGCGCGCUGCAGGGCAUGUUCCAUGGCUUCCUCUCAGAUGGCCAGUACUGGAGGAUCGCAGGCAGAGACGACGACGACGAGGAGCCGGCGAAGAAGAACAGGACGAAGGCGUCGUACAUCCUGCUGUACGAGGACAACGAGGGCGACCGGAUGCUCGUCGGCGACGUGCCAUGGGAGCUGUUCAUGGCUUCGGUGAAGAGGCUCUACAUCGCACAGGACCCCAGGAAGAACUAGCUAGAGAGAGAGAGGAUCGGAGGGAGCUGAGAUGAUGUUGCUCGAUCGCUGCUUUUUCUAUACAGCUCAUCAAUUAAAGCAGCAGAUGAUAGCAACACUGUAUGUGCUACCUAGUAUCUAGCAGUUGAUAUAGUGCAGUAGGCACAUAUAUAUAUAUGUAGUACUAUGUAGAGGAAGUUUUGCUUGCAUUCA